ensembl:snoRNA
AUCCUUUUGGCUCAUAAACUGGAUUAUUUGGCAUUCACACCAUGGCAUGAGAUUUCCCUCUUUCAAACCAUUUUGCAGAAUCUAGACAUUACUCAUCUGAAA